rnacentral:rRNA from 1 species
UACGGGGGGGGCAAGCGUUGUUCGGAAUUACUGGGCGUAAAGGGCUCGUAGGUGGCCAACUAAGUCAGACGUGAAAUCCCUCGGCUUAACCGGGGAACUGCAUCUGAUACUGGAUGGCUUGAGUUUGGGAGAGGGAUGCGGAAUUCCAGGUGUAGCGGUGAAAUGCGUAGAUAUCUGGAGGAACACCGGUGGCGAAGGCGGCAUCCUGGACCAACACUGACACUGAGGAGCGAAAGCCAGGGGAGCAAACAGG